CCUUUACCUCAUGCUCGUGUGAUAAGGACAAGACACUCAUGUUUCUGUGCUUUUUCCUUUAUUUUUACACUACUGCAUAAAGUAUCUAGCAUGACCUAAGUUGUGUGUUUUAUGAAUUGUGGAGCAGUUCUGACUCAGAUGUGGUCUUUCUUUAGAAACAAAAAUAAGAACCUCUGAAGAAGCCAGUGACAGAUACAGGUGAAACAUCAGGAGAAAAUACUGCUGGAACAUGGCCAUACAGCUCGAAAAACUCACAGUAACCCAAGGAGAAUAAGCUGAAGAAGAGCAAGAUUCCUGAUUCAACUCAUCCUGGCUGAGAUGACAACGAAUACUCAUCUAUCACUUAUAUGGGAAGAAGUGACAAUAAGAGCUGCAUCUACUCUAAAAUGAUGGAAACAGGAACCAGGAAUUUGGGAGUCGAGGUGUGGAAGUACACAACUAUAGUGGAUUUGGCCCUGCAAAAAGUUCACUGAAAGGUUCGGGGAGCCCGAUAUGAAGCAAAACCCAUUGUGUUUCAUCAGGAAGUUCAGAGGUAUUUCAAUCACACCAUCUUCCCUCUCCAGUUGACCUUGAGCGCAGACCAACAAUCCAGCUGAACAAUGUGUGUAUUUUGCACUGCAGCCGGAGCACACUCUUCGGAGGACACAGCUGAGACAACAUUUCUCUCAUAACAAAAACACAUUCCCAGGAAUAAUGAAAAAAGAAACUUUAUACACCAACAGACCUUGCUGAGGUCAGUAGUAGACUCUUCAGAGCUUUGUCAAAGACCCAAUCUUUCUGUAAUUAAAAAGCUCAUCAGAAACGAUGGCUCAGAAUUAGCACUGGGGUAGGUUGUGUUCUUUUUUUGACAUCAUUGCUGGAUCUCCACUGACGCAAAUGAGUUCAGGCUAUCUGUUGGGACUCACAGGACAGGUGUACCUAGAACGACCAAGAGUUUUCAACCCCCAUCCUGUUCUCCAAAUGUGUUUGUUUUGAACACACUUGAUUGUUGGGAGGGUAGCCUGCUCUGGAGUAAAUCAAGAUUUGCCUGGUGCUUUUGUGAAUUUGUUUGAAUGUGUAAUAUUAAAAAAAAAGACUUGCCUGGUGCUGCAGGUCAGCAGGGCUUGACCA